AAGUCGUAACAAGGUUUCCGUAGGUGAACCUGCGGAAGGAUCAUUAACGAGUUAGGGUCUCUCUGGCCCGACCUCCCAACCCUUUGUCUACUUGACCAUCGUUGCUUCGGCGAGCCCGUCCUCACGGACCGCCGGAGGGAUCUUUACUGGCCCUCUGGUCCGCGCUCGUCGGUAGCCCAACCUUUAAAAUCUUUAACUAAACGUGCCUUAAUCUAAGUACAAUUAUUAAAUAAAAGCAAAACUUUCAACAACGGAUCUCUUGGUUCUGGCAUCGAUGAAGAACGCAGCGAAAUGCGAUAAGUAAUGCGAAUUGCAGAAUUCCAGUGAGUCAUCGAAUCUUUGAACGCACAUUGCGCCCUUUGGUAUUCCGAAGGGCAUGCCUGUUCGAGCGUCAUUGUCACCCCUCAAGCCCUCGGCUUGGUGUUGGACGGUUUGGUGGAGGCCCCCUCGGGGGCUCCUGCCCCUCCCAAAGACAAUGACGGCGGCCUCGUUGGACCCCCGGUACACUGAGUUCUUCACGGGACACGUAUCGGACACAUGGGUUUACGGGACACGGUCUGCCUCCCCUCAGGGAGAAUCUUUCUAAGGUUGACCUCGGAUCAGGUAGGGAUACCCGCUGAACUUAAGCAUAUCAAUAAGCGGAGGAAAAGAAACCAACAGGGAUUGCCUCAGUAACGGCGAGUGAAGCGGCAACAGCUCAAAUUUGAAAUCUGGCCUCUUUGGGGUCCGAGUUGUAAUUUGUAGAGGAUGUUUCGGGUACCGCCUCGGUUUAAAUUUCUUGGAACAGAAUGUCAAAGAGGGUGAGAAUCCCGUCUUGGACCGGCGGUAGGGCCCAUGUGAAACUCCUUCGACGAGUCGAGUUGUUUGGGAAUGCAGCUCAAAAUGGGUGGUAAAUUUCAUCUAAAGCUAAAUAUUGGCCAGAGACCGAUAGCGCACAAGUAGAGUGAUCGAAAGAUGAAAAGCACUUUGAAAAGAGAGCUAAACAGUAUGUGAAAUUGUUGAAAGGGAAGCGCUUACAACCAGACUUGCGCGCGGCGGUUCCCCCUUCCUUUUGGUUGGGCUACUCCGUCGUGUCCAGGCCAACAUCGGUUCUGGGGGUCGGUUAAAGACCCUGGGAAUGUAUCUACCCUUCGGGCGUAGACUUAUAGCUCAGGGUGUCAUGCGACCUCCCGGGACCGAGGAACGCGCUUCGGCUCGGAUGUUGGCGUAAUGGUUGUCAGCGACC
rnacentral:rRNA from 1 species